AUGAGCUCCUUUGCCAGGACGAUGCCUCCUCCCCUCCCAGGAAAGGCCGUGGCCGGCUCAGCGCCCAGCAGGAGCGUGUGGCCUUGGAGGAGCCACAUUUCUGUGGCCCCGGUGAGCCCACACAUUCGAAUCAACAUGACACACUUUUGGUCCCGCAAGCUUUCUGGGCUUUUUAAUAAUCGGAUUCUAAGCCAAGGCUCUUCCUCUCUUCUUAGCGGAAGUCCACUCUUGUGCGGAGGACGGAACCACGGGAGGUUUGGACGCUGUCUCAGUGACUUUUGCAAAUACCUGCAUUUGACAGUUGUGUGUCCACGUUCAAGCCAAUUCUUUCCACAAACUACUGGAAAAGCCUUGGGCCCCGGUGGAAGCUGUAUUCUGUGAUGACACCCGCCUUUCCCAGGGGACGACCGUCACAGGCACAAAAUGACUUUGUCAAGAAAUGGGAUGCGCCAGGAACAUGAGGUCUCCUCAAGAAAGGACGGGCUGAUCUGAAGAAGGUUCUUGAGGGGUGAAGACAGCAGUGCAGUGUCCGAGAGAAGCCGUAGACUCCGAUGGUUCAUUCAAAGCAAUGAAACUGUCACCACAAAUCUGGAUGGCAAAUUUCCUCUUGGAAUCUGCACAAGCCGAAAGUCCAGAACCCGGCCGAUGGAGACUUCCAGUAUCUUUUAUACGUGCAUGCACUAUGUGCUGCUGUGUUUUUCUUGUUGAUGCGUGGGGAAGUUAGGAUGAGGAGAGGAGUCCCUGAGGAAGAAGUGAUCUGCUGCUACAGGAGAGUUUGGGGGAGCAUUCAACAGAGCAGGGAGGACCCCCCGGGGAGCCGGUCAAGCAAGGUCACAGGAACUCCAGCAGAGAGAAAGCCCCGCACCCCAACUCCACGAGCCCCCCGCGGAAGGAGGCAGCCUGGGAAGAGAGCGCUGCACUCAACCCAGCCAUUCUGGGGUUGAAACUCGGUUCUGGGGCGCAGCAGGUUAAGCCACUGCCAGCAACGCUGGCAUCCCCAUAUGGCCAUCAGUUCCUGUCCCGGCUGCUCCACUUCUGACCCAGCUCCCUGCUGGUGGCCUGGGAGAGCAGCAGAAGAUGGCCCAAGUGCUUUGACCCCUGCAGCCAAGUAGGAGACGCAGAUGAAGUUCCAGGCUCCUAGCUUUGGCCUGACCCAGUCCCGGCCAUUGCGGCCAUCGGGGGAGUGAACUAGCGAAUGGAAGAUCUCUCUCUGUCUGUCUGUCUCUCUCUCUGCAAGUCUGCCUUACUAAGCAAUACAUAAAUACAUCUUUUUUAAAAAAAGAAACAGUCCUGCCACUGUCAGUGGUCCCUUAGCGAGCUGCAUGCGUGAAUCUUUCUAGAUCUCACCUUGGAUGCUGCUAAGGAACCUUGAAAGUGUGGU
rnacentral:lncRNA from 1 species